GACGAACGCUGGCGGCGUGCUUAACACAUGCAAGUCGAACGAUGAAGCUGGAGCUUGCUCCGGUGGAUUAGUGGCGAACGGGUGAGUAACACGUGAGCAAUCUGCCCUUGACUCUGGGAUAACUGCGGGAAACUGUAGCUAAUACCGGAUACUUUCACUGGAAGGCAUCUUCUGGUGAAGAAAGAAUUUCGGUCAAGGAUGAGCUCGCGGCCUAUCAGCUUGUUGGUGAGGUAACGGCUCACCAAGGCGACGACGGGUAGCCGGCCUGAGAGGGUAGCCGGCCACACUGGGACUGCGACACGGCCCAGACUCCUACGGGAGGCAGCAGUGGGGAAUAUUGCACAAUGGGCGCAAGCCUGAUGCAGCAACGCCGCGUGAGGGAUGAAGGCCUUCGGGUUGUAAACCUCUUUUAGCAGGGAAGAAGCGAAAGUGACGGUACCUGCAGAAAAAGCACCGGCUAACUACGUGCCAGCCGCCGCGGUAA
rnacentral:rRNA from 1 species